rnacentral:rRNA from 1 species
AACGAACGCUGGCGGCAGGCCUAACACAUGCAAGUCGAGCGCGCCUUCGGGUGAGCGGCGGACUGGUGAGUAACGCGUGGGGAUAUGCCCUUCUCUACGGAAUAGUCCUGGGAAACUGGGGGUAAUAGCGUAUACGCCCUUUGGGGGAAAGGUUUAUCGGGGAAGGAUUAGCGCGCGUUAGAGUAGGUGGUUGGUGGGGUGAUGUCCUGCCAAGUCGACGAUCCAUAGCUGGUGUGACAGGAUGAGCCGCCACACUGGGACUGCGACACGGACUAGACUGCGACGGGACGGUGCAGUGUGGUGUCUUAGGGAAGGGAGGCUAAUGUGAUAUCGCCGUGCGGCGGAAGUGAUGAAGGGCGUAGGGUUGUAAAGCUCUUUGAGAUGGGAAGAUAAUGACGGUAACAGCAGAAGAAGCACCGGCUAACUACGUG